GGCACUUUGGCCGAGUGGUCUAAGGCGCCGUGUUCAGGCCAGGAUUCGCUCUCGCAGCAGAUCCACCUCUUCGCGGUCUAGUAAUAGGCGAGGGUUCGAAUCCCUCAGGUGUCA